rnacentral:tRNA from 1 species
CGGGCUGUAGCGCAGUUUGGUAGCGCACCUGCUUUGGGAGCAGGGGGUCGCCGGUUCAAGUCCGGCCAGCCCGA